rnacentral:lncRNA from 1 species
ACAGAGUCCUUCUUCAGCCUGGAAGGGUUCAGCUCAGCUCUGCUGGCACUGGCUCGCCCCUCAUUGGAAGUAUCUACAGGUCUUGGAGCUGAGACAGGAACUGACUUCAAGUAAGGUGACUGGAUCAGAGUGAUGCCAGGCCCUCUGCAGCCAUUUUGUGUCCAUGAGAAGAGCUAGUCCAGAGACAAAGUGGACAUUCAGAGAAGGACACAAAGGAGCAAAUCCCAAUCCCUAGAGGCAUUCCAUCAGUUCACCCACCCCCUGGGCUUUGCACAAGAUGGAGAUCUGAGGUCUGGGCCUGAAACCACAUGCUUCAACCAUCUGACAGCAUUUACUCCUGCACCAGGUUCCAGAUUCUGGAGAAAAGGGCUCAGAAAAGUCCUCCAUAAGGUCCCUCCUCCGAUAAGACUUCUUCCUGCAGAAUCACAUCUCCAUUAAGAGCAUGCCAGGCAAAUGCUACCAACGAAUGGGAACCAGCACACUAGGUUAAACACAUUAUACAGGGGAUGACCCAUGAUGUAAAGCUGAGUGGAAGGAAGCCCAAUAGUAAGUACAGCACAAAAUAGUUCUUAAAAGGAGAAACUAAGCAUGCUGGUGCAAAUGAUAAAUGUAGGAAAGUGACAUCUCCUAGGGGUGUGGUGUGUGUGUGUGUGUGUGUGUGGUUGGGAUUGCAAUGUUCCUUUUCUCUUUUGUGUUGCCUCUGCACUGAGUGGCUACUCAUUUGAUGCAUAUGCUCAUUGAGCAUCUAUUAUGUGCCAGUCCUCUAUUAGGGAUGCAAGGAUGAUCAAGAUUAAUG